rnacentral:rRNA from 1 species
UAGCGGCGAGUGAAGCGGCAAAAGCUCAAAUUUGAAAUCUGGCGCCUUCGGUGUCCGAGUUGUAAUUUGAAGAUUGUAACCUUGGGGUUGGCUCUUGUCUAUGUUUCUUGGAACAGGACGUCACAGAGGGUGAGAAUCCCGUGCGAUGAGAUGCCCAAUUCUAUGUAAGGUGCUUUCGAAGAGUCGAGUUGUUUGGGAAUGCAGCUCUAAGUGGGUGGUAAAUUCCAUCUAAAGCUAAAUAUUGGCGAGAGACCGAUAGCGAACAAGUACAGUGAUGGAAAGAUGAAAAGAACUUUGAAAAGAGAGUGAAAAAGUACGUGAAAUUGUUGAAAGGGAAGGGUUUGAGAUCAGACUCGAUAUUUUGUGAGCCUUGCCUUCGUGGCGGGGUGACCCGCAGCUUAUCGGGCCAGCAUCGGUUUGGGCGGUAGGAUAAUGGCGUAGGAAUGUGACUUUACUUCGGUGAAGUGUUAUAGCCUGCGUUGAUGCUGCCUGCCUAGACCGAGGACUGCGAUUUUAUCAAGGAUGC